AGGGGAUCCAAUAAACCAGACUGCAAAUCUGAUUAGGGUUUUUGCUGAGAUUUGAGCUCCAGAUUUUAUCUUCAUCUCCAUCAAGUUCAAUGACGCCGCCACCGGGUCUUUACUCCGGCAAGAGCAAUCUUGCUCUGGUUGCUCGUGUUUCGGCGUUGACUUUCGGUGUGGUUUACGGAAGCGUGAAGCAUAAAAUUCUCAAGUCGAAGGCCAAGUCUCUUGCGAAAGCUCAAGCAAAGGCGCAUCAUUGACGUCCUAAAGUGGCAAUGGCUGUGCUUGGAUCGUUAAUAAGAACGUCUACAAUCCUGUUCCAGUUGAUGUUUAUUUGACUGAAUCAGCCUUUUGUGAGCUUUAAAGUUUGGUAUAACCCAGUCUUUUGGGAGCUUUAGACAAUGUAUUGAUAAUACAGAUAACCCAGUCUUUUGUGAGCU